rnacentral:rRNA from 1 species
CGAACGAGAAGCUUCUUUCGGGAAGUGGAGAGUGGCGCACGGGUGAGUAACGCGUGGGGAUCUACCCUUUGGUACGGGAUAACGUUUGGAAACGAACGCUAAUACCGUAUGUGGUCUACGGACUAAAGAUUUAUCGCCAAAGGAUGAACCCGCGUAAGAUUAGAUAGUUGGUGGGGUAAUGGCCUACCAAGUCUACGAUCUUUAGCUGGUCUGAGAGGACGAUCAGCCACACUGGAACUGAGACACGGUCCAG